AAUCUUCGUACUUUUAGGUAAAA
rnacentral:snRNA from 1 species